rnacentral:rRNA from 1 species
GCGAACGCUGGCGGCAGGCCUAACACAUGCAAGUCGAGGCGGCCGUAGCAAUACGGCAGCGGCAGACGGGAGAGUAACACGUGGGAACGCGCCCUUCGGUUCGGGAUAACCCAGGGAAACUUGGCUAAUACCGGAUACGCCCUUACGGGGAAAGAUUUAUUGCCGAAGGAACGGCCCGCGUCCGAUUAGCUAGUUGGUGAGGUAAUGGCUCACCAAGGCGACGAUCGGUAGCUGGUCUGAGAGGAUGACCAGCCUCACUGGACUGAGACACGGCCCAGACUCCUACGGGAGGCAGCAGUGGGGAAUAUUGGACAAUGGGCGCAAGCCUGAUCCAGCCAUGCCGCGUGGGUGAUGAAGGCCCUAGGGUUGUAAAGCCCUUUCAGCGGGGAAGAUAAUGACGGUACCCGCAGAAGAAGCCCGGCUAACUUCGUUGCCAGCAGCCGCGGUAAUACGAAGGGGGCUAGCGUUGCUCGGAAUUACUGGGCGUAAAGCGCACGUAGGCGGCUUUCUAAGUCGGGGGUGAAAUCCUGGAGCUCAACUCCAGAACCGCCUUCGAUACUGGAAAGCUCGAGUCCGGGAGAGGUGAGUGGAACUGCGAGUGUAGAGGUGAAAUUCGUAGAUAUUCGCAAGAACACCAGUGGCGAGGCGGCUCACUGGCCCGGUACCUGACGCUGAGGUGCGAAAGCGUGGGGGAAGCAACAGGAUUAGAUACCCUGGUAGUCCACGCCGUAAACGAUGGAUCUAGGCGUGGCUCGUAUCGACCGUGCCGUGCCGUAGCUAACGCGUUAAGUAUCCCGCCUGGGGAGUACGGCUCGCAAGUGUUGAAAACUCAAAGGAAUUGACGGGGGCCCGCACAAGCGGUGGAGUAUGUGGUUUAAAUUCGAAUGCAACGCGAAGAACCUUACCAGGGCCUUGACAUGUCCGGAACCUCUGGCUUAAAGAGACGGGGUCCUCACUUCGGGAGGCCGGAACACAGGUGGUGCAUGGCUGUCGUCAGCUCGUGUCGUGAGAUGUUGGGUUAAGUCCCGCAACGAGCGCAACCCUCGUUCCUUAGUUGCAUCAUUAGUUUGGGCACUCUAAGGGGACUGCCGGUGACUAAGCCGAGGAAGGUGGGGAUGACGUCAAGUCAGCAUGCCCCUUACGUCCUGGGCUACACACGUACUACAAAUGCGACGGACAAAGGGCAGCAAGCGAGCGAUCGCAAGCUAAUCCCAUAAACCCGUGGCUCAGUUCAGAUCGCAGGCUGCAACUCGACUGCAUGAAGCUGGAAUCGCUAGUAAUCGUAUAUCAGCAAUGAUACGGUGAAUACGUUCCCGGACCUUGCCACACACCGCCCGUCAAGCCAUGGGAGCCGGGUGUACCUAAAGUCGGUAACCGUAAGGAGCUGCCUAGGGUAAAAUCGGUGACUGGGGCU